CAGAGGUCCCGAGCGUUGUUCGGAUUCACUGGGCGUAAAGGGUGCGUAGGUGGCGAGGUAAGUCGGAUGUGAAAGCUCGGAGCUCAACUCCGAAAUGGCAUUGGAAACUACCUUGCUCGAGGGUUGGAGGGGAGACUGGAAUACUUGGUGUAGCAGUGAAAUGCGUAGAUAUCAAGUGGAACACCAGUGGCGAAGGCGAGUCCCUGGACAACUCCUGACACUGAGGCACGAAAGCUAGGGGAGCAAACAGGAUUAGAUACCCUGGUAGUCCUAGCCGUAAACGGUGCAUGUUUGCUGUAAAAGGAUUCGACCCCUUUUGUGGCGUAGCCAACGCGUUAAACAUGCCGCCUGGGAAGUACGGUCGCAAGAUUA
rnacentral:rRNA from 1 species